CGAACCUGGAGAGGAUGGUACGGGAGCUGCCACCCAUGCCGCCUCAUUACUGCUCCCAAGAAAGAACCGCAGAAUAGACAGAAGAAACGCGAGAAAGAACCCUCCUUUUUCUUUUCUUCUCUCUGUGCUGGUCUGCUCUCGCGUCGAGGAACGCGAGCAAUGCAAGGAGAAGGAACGGGGACCUCCAAGAAUGAUCGAGGGUUCAAGCACCAAGCCCGCGGCUUCUGCUAGCUCUCGCCAUGGAUUCGAUCUUGCCGCAUCUGUGGGCUCGUGCGAGAGCGGUAUGGGAUGGAGCGGCGGGGGGAGACCAAA
rnacentral:misc_RNA from 1 species